rnacentral:lncRNA from 1 species
CUUUAAGCAGUUCCAGGCUCAUGCCCAGGCCGAGCUCUGCCCACCGAGUGUGAGCCAUACUGGGUGUGCUUUGUAUUUUUCCAGUCUGGGUCACAUACACUGCCAGAUUAAUUUUUAUAGGAUCAUGUAUGAAUGUGCCAUCCCCUUCUUCCUGCUUUUGCUCAAGAAUGGUCAAUUUCUCCAUUUUAUGUGCUACUGUAUUUGUCAGGGCUGUUUAGAAGACAAUAGAAACUUAAAUCUUUUACUUCAAGGAAAAGGAGAUAAUAGGAUUGAAUGAGAGUCAGAAAGAA